rnacentral:rRNA from 1 species
GGGGAAUCUUGGACAAUGGGCGCAAGCCUGAUCCAGCCAUGCCGCGUGAGUGACGAAGGUCUUCGGAUUGUAAAGCUCUUUUGCCAGGGACGAUAAUGACGGUACCUGGAGAAUAAGCCCCGGCUAACUUCGUGCCAGCAGCCGCGGUAAUACGAAGGGGGCUAGCGUUGUUCGGAAUUACUGGGCGUAAAGCGCACGCAGGCGGAUUUGUAAGUCAGGGGUGAAAUCCCGGGGCUCAACCUCGGAACUGCCUUUGAUACUGCAAAUCUCGAGUCCGGAAGAGGUGAGUGGAAUUCCUAGUGUAGAGGUGAAAUUCGUAGAUAUUAGGAAGAACACCAGUGGCGAAGGCGGCUCACUGGUCCGGUACUGACGCUGAGGUGCGAAAGCGUGGGGAGCAAAC